rnacentral:rRNA from 1 species
CUUUGAGACCGGCGCACGGGUGCGUAACGCGUAUGCAAUCUGCCUUUCACAGAGGGAUAGCCCAGAGAAAUUUGGAUUAAUACCUCAUAGCAUUACAGGGUGGCAUCACUUCGUAAUUAAAGUCACAACGGUGAAAGAUGAGCAUGCGUCCCAUUAGCUAGUUGGUAAGGUAACGGCUUACCAAGGCUACGAUGGGUAGGGGUCCUGAGAGGGAGAUCCCCCACACUGGUACUGAGACACGGACCAGACUCCUACGGGAGGCAGCAGUGAGGAAUAUUGGUCAAUGGACGCAAGUCUGAACCAGCCAUGCCGCGUGCAGGAUGACGGUCCUAUGGAUUGUAAACUGCUUUUGUACGGGAAGAAACACUCCUACGUGUAGGAGCUUGACGGUACCGUAAGAAUAAGGAUCGGCUAACUCCGUGCCAGCAGCCGCGGUAAUACGGAGGAUCCAAGCGUUAUCCGGAAUCAUUGGGUUUAAAGGGUCCGUAGGCGGUUUGGUAAGUCAGUGGUGAAAGCCCAUCGCUCAACGGUGGAACGGCCAUUGAUACUGCUGAACUUGAAUUAUUGGGAAGUAACUAGAAUAUGUAGUGUAGCGGUGAAAUGCUUAGAGAUUACAUGGAAUACCAAUUGCGAAGGCAGGUUACUACCAAUGGAUUGACGCUGAUGGACGAAAGCGUGGGUAGCGAACAGGAUUAGAUACCCUGGUAGUCCACGCCGUAAACGAUGGAUACUAGCUGUUGGGGGCAACUUCAGUGGCUAAGCGAAAGUGAUAAGUAUCCCACCUGGGGAGUACGAACGCAAGUUUGAAACUCAAAGGAAUUGACGGGGGCCCGCACAAGCGGUGGAGCAUGUGGUUUAAUUCGAUGAUACGCGAGGAACCUUACCAAGGCUUAAAUGCAGACUGACCGAUUUGGAAACAGAUCUUUCGCAAGACAGUUUACAAGGUGCUGCAUGGUUGUCGUCAGCUCGUGCCGUGA